rnacentral:lncRNA from 1 species
CUCCCACCCUAGGAGAGCUUGCAGGCCAGUGGUGAGGUCUGAUGACUAUAAACCAGGGCCAAAGCUGCUAAAGUAAUGACAGGAAGGCCACACAUUUCUCUGAACACUCACCAUGGGCCAGGGUCUCUGCUAAAAACCCAGUUAGCAUGAACACAUUCAAACCCCAGAACAGCCCUACUUGGUAGGGGCAUGUUCCUGUCUGCCAAGUUCCCUGACUCCAAACAGCCCUAGGAGGGUCCUGGGGACACAGCAGGGUAGGAGCCUCUGGCCUGGGGUUAAAUGUCCUUCGGCAUCCCAGAAAGAAAACACAUGAGUGAGCCUUGCUUCCGUGAAGAGGCACUUGACAGGUGGAAAGUUAUUACAGGCAGUAGAAUCAGUGUGGCUGAAGAAAGACACAUGCGAUUCCACUGAACGCUCUCAGCCACCCUAGAUCCUGUUAUUGUGCCCAUUUCCAGAGAUCAGAGGGGUCAAGUGAGUUGCUCUAGGACACACAGGAGACAAUGUUACAGAUUCCUACAUCUGGUCACCAAACCACUAGAUCUUCUGUCUCCAGAUGAUUAAUAAUGUCAUAGCUACACUUCAGGAAGAGCCUCCUCAAGGGCUAGUUUGGUCUCAGAUGUCGGAAAGUCUGGGCCAGAAUGUGAGGACACCAAGGGCUCUGCUAUGUAGCUUGGACUUGAGAUUGAGUGAACACUUUGUAAGCCAGGCAUGCAGAGGCAGACUCUGGAAGGCUUGUUCUAGAAGGACACCCCCAAGAGCUCCCACCCCUUUUGCAGGAAGCCUGACUCUCCCAGACCACAGCCCGACGCCCAGCCAUGCUGACGUCCAGACUCUACACAAGGGCCUCAGAGAGGGGACAAGAUGUGAUGCCACGACCCCCAGCAACCCCCCUCCUCCCAACACCACCGUCCCUAUCUUGGGCCUGGGGGAAGGAGAAAAUGAAGCGGGAUAUGGAAGAGCCUAGAGCUGUGCCUGGCACAGAGACAGGGUCCAUUAUCUGUGUGAGCCUCCGUGGGACUGGAACUCUCCAGACACCACUUCUGUGGCAGGAGACGCAGAAUGGCCGGCACGGGGUAAGGAAGGCAGCCUUGACUGUGUUCUGCCCCACGGUGCUGUUUUCCUUCUGCAGGCGGCUGUGGCUGUUUUGGGGGGUGGGGUGGCUAGGCUUAGCUCUUAGCCAGAGAUGUCUUAGCAUUUGAUGUGAUACUGCUGUUGUUUUUGGCUCUACAUCCAAGACUCCUGCGUGGCUAAUUACUCAUUGUCUUGGAAGCCUGGCGCAGGAGCCUGAGGAAGGAGGGUGGAAAGGGCUGGUUGCUGUUUUUCUCCUGGUUAAAGAAGCAGUGGCACUGGAGUGAUGAGUUAAGCCUUUUGCAUGAUCUCAGCUGAACUGAGAAAUAAUCUAUAUACAAUAAAAUGCACAUGAUUUAGGACA